AUUUAUAUAGUUUAUUAAAACAUUAUAUUUUCAUUAUAAAAAUAGAUUUUAUCUUAUAAAUU
rnacentral:tRNA from 1 species